UAGCUCAGUUGGUAGAGCAAAUGACUGUUAAUCAUUGGGUCGCUGGUUCGAGCCCAG
rnacentral:tRNA from 1 species